rnacentral:rRNA from 1 species
AUUGAACGCUGGCGGCAGGCCUAACACAUGCAAGUCGAACGCGUGGCGGACGGGUGAGUAAUGUCUGGGAAACUGCCCGAUGGAGGGGGAUAACUACUGGAAACGGUAGCUAAUACCGCAUACCAUCGGAUGUGCCCAGAUGGGAUUAGCUAGUAGGGGGGGUAAAGGCUCAACUAGGAACCGAUCCCUAGCUGGUCUGAGAGGAUGAAGAGCCACCCGGGAACUGAGAAACGGUCCAGACUCCUACACGAGGCAUCAGUGGGGAAUAUUGCACAAUGGGAGGAAGCGUGAUGCCGCCAUGCGGAGUGUAUGAGGAAGGCCUUGGGGUUGUAAAGUACUUUCAGCGAGGAGGCGUUACUCGCAGAAGAAGCACCGGCUAACUCCGUGCCAGCAGCCGCGGUAAUUC